rnacentral:rRNA from 2 species
UCCGAGUUGUAAUUUGUAGAGGAUGUUUCGGGUACCGCCUCGGUUUAAAUUUCUUGGAACAGAAUGUCAAAGAGGGUGAGAAUCCCGUCUUGGACCGGCGGUAGGGCCUAUGUGAAACUCCUUCGACGAGUCGAGUUGUUUGGGAAUGCAGCUCAAAAUGGGUGGUAAAUUUCAUCUAAAGCUAAAUAUUGGCCAGAGACCGAUAGCGCACAAGUAGAGUGAUCGAAAGAUGAAAAGCACUUUGAAAAGAGAGUUAAACAGUAUGUGAAAUUGUUGAAAGGGAAGCGCUUGCAACCAGACUUGAGCGCGGCGGUUCCCCCUUGCUUCUGCUUGGGUUACUCCGCCGUGUCCAGGCCAACAUCGGUUCUGGGGGUCGGUCAAAGGCUCUGGGAAUGUAUCUACCCACGGGUAGACUUAUAGACCAGGGUGUCAUGCGACCUCCCGGGACCGAGGAACGCGCUUCGGCUCGGAUGUUGGCGUAAUGGUUGUCAGCGACCCGUCUUGAAACACGGACCAAGGAGUCUAACAUCUAUGCGAGUGUUUGGGUGUCAAACCCGGAACGCGGAAUGAAAGUGAACGGAGGUAGGAAGCUUCGGCUGCACUAUCGACCGAUCCUGAAGUUUACGGAUGGAUUUGAGUAAGAGCAUAGCUGUUGGGACCCGAAAGAUGGUGAACUAUGCCUGAAUAGGGUGAAGCCAGAGGAAACUCUGGUGGAGGCUCGCAGCGGUUCUGACGUGCAAAUCGAUCGUCAAAUUUGGGUAUAGGG